rnacentral:sRNA from 1 species
UUUCAGUGGCUUUGAUAGCAGGCGUUUUACUGUAUCUCAUAGAUGCUAACAAAGGUGGAAAACUUAAUUUAUCUGCAAAAGCAAGAGCCAUUGAGAAACUAAAGUUAGAUGCU